rnacentral:rRNA from 1 species
UACGGAGGGUGCAAGCGUUAUCCGGAUUCACUGGGUUUAAAGGGUGCGUAGGAGGGCAGGUAAGUCAGUGGUGAAAUCCUGGGGCUUAACCCCAGACUGCCGUUGAUACUAUCGGUCUUGAAUGUCGUGGAGGUGAGCGGAAUAUGUCAUGUAGCGGUGAAAUGCUUAGAUAUGACAUAGUAACACCAAUUGCGAAAGGCAG